UACAGAGGUCCCAAGCGUUGUUCGGAUUCAUUGGGCGUAAAGGGUGCGUAGGUGGCGCCGUAAGUCAGGUGUGAAAUCUCGGGGCUUAACUCCGAAACUGCAUUUGAUACUGCGGUGCUUGAGGACUGGAGAGGAGAUUGGAAUUUACGGUGUAGCAGUGAAAUGCGUAGAUAUCGUAAGGAAGACCAGUGGCGAAGGCGAAUCUCUGGACAGUUACUGACACUGAGGCACGAAGGCCAGGGGAGCAAACGGG
rnacentral:rRNA from 1 species